ACUAAGCGUACACGGUGGAUGCCCUGGCAGUCAGAGGCGAUGAAGGACGUGCUAAUCUGCGAUAAGCGUCGGUAAGGUGAUAUGAACCGUUAUAACCGGCGAUUUCCGAAUGGGGAAACCCAGUGUGAUUCGUCACACUAUCAUUAACUGAAUCCAUAGGUUAAUGAGGCGAACCGGGGGAACUGAAACAUCUAAGUACCCCGAGGAAAAGAAAUCAACCGAGAUUCCCCCAGUAGCGGCGAGCGAACGGGGAGGAGCCCAGAGCCUGAAUCAGUGUGUGUGUUAGUGGAAGCGUCUGGAAAGGCGCGCGAUACAGGGUGACAGCCCCGUACACAAAAAUACACAUAUUGUGAGCUCGAUGAGUAGGGCGGGACACGUGGUAUCCUGUCUGAAUAUGGGGGGACCAUCCUCCAAGGCUAAAUACUCCUGACUGACCGAUAGUGAACCAGUACCGUGAGGGAAAGGCGAAAAGAAC
rnacentral:rRNA from 1 species